rnacentral:rRNA from 1 species
ACGGAGGGUGCAAGCGUUACUCGGAAUCACUGGGCGUAAAGGAUGCGUAGGCUGGAAAUCAAGUCGAGAGUGAAAUCCAACGGCUUAACCGUUGAACUGCUCUCGAUACUGGUUACCUAGAAUAUGGGAGAGGUAGAUGGAAUUGGAGGUGUAGGGGUAAAAUCCGUAGAUAUCACGAGGAAUACCGAUUGCGAAGGCGACCUACUGGACGAUUAUUGACGCUCAGGUAUGAAAGCGUGGGGAGCAAACAG